AAUUGACAUUUGAAUUUUUGUUUUUGAGGUACGGAACAAUUAUUAAUGUGAAAAAGAAGGUGUAAGUAAUGAAUAUUGUUAAUUAUGAACGGAUUGUUGAAGGAAACUACAAAGAAGAGGCUCCAAUUAUUGACUGAAAUGUUAUUUUGUAUUGUGGUUACAUGGUUCAUUACCUGGAAAUGAUUUGUUAUUAUAUAAAAAUAGGUGUACUUUUUGCUUGUUCUUUUUAUGCCAUAUGUAAUAUAUAGCUGCAAAGGAUCCCACAUGGCACAGAGAUUUUUUAUAGCACAUUAGAUCACCCUAUGCCCCUUGUGUAUUUUACCCCUUUCAGAGGGGUACCAAUCACCCCUUUGAUCCUAAAAAAGGAAAAGGGGUAGCUGCUAAAAAAGGGUGUUGCAGAUGCCAAACUAUUGACCCUGUAGUUUUAAUAGUUUUUUAGUUCUGUUAAAUUUACUUUAUAUUGGGAAAAUAUCUGUUUUAAUAAUAUCAGAAACAAAUAUUAUGAAUACAUUGUGAAGAAAAUUAAAAAAUUAUUAAUCAAUCAAUAGAGAAACUUGACUGUGAUGUCACA